rnacentral:rRNA from 1 species
AACGAACGCUGGCGGCAUGCCUAACACAUGCAAGUCGAACGAGACCUUCGGGUCUAGUGGCGCACGGGUGCGUAACGCGUGGGAACCUGCCCUUAGGUUCGGAAUAACUCCCCGAAAGGGGUGCUAAUACCGGAUAAUGUCUUCGGACCAAAGAUUUAUCGCCUUUGGAUGGGCCCGCGUUGGAUUAGCUAGUUGGUAGGGUAAAAGCCUACCACGGCGACGAUCCAUAGCUGGUCUGAGAGGAUGAUCAGCCACACUGGGACUGAGACACGGCCCAGACUCCUACGGGAGGCAGCAGUGGGGAAUAUUGGACAAUGGGCGAAAGCCUGAUCCAGCAAUGCCGCGUGAGUGAUGAAGGCCUUAGGGUUGUAAAGCUCCUUUACCCGGGAUGAUAAUGACAGUACCGGGAGAAUAAGCUCCGGCUAACUCCGUG